ACGAACGCUGGCGGCAGGCUUAACCCAUGCAAGUCGAACGCCCCGCAAGGGGAGUGGCAGACGGGUGAGUAACGCGUGGGAACAUACCCUUUUCUACGGAAUAGCUCUGGGAAACUGGAAUUAAUACCGUAUACGCCCUACGGGGGAAAGAUUUAUCGGGGAAGGAUUGGCCCGCGUUGGAUUAGCUAGUUGGUGGGGUAAAGGCCUACCAAGGCGACGAUCCAUAGCUGGUCUGAGAGGAUGAUCAGCCACAUUGGGACUGAGACACGGCCCAAACUCCUACGGGAGGCAGCAGUGGGGAAUAUUGGACAAUGGGCGCAAGCCUGAUCCAGCCAUGCCGCGUGAGUGAUGAAGGCCUUAGGGUUGUAAAGCUCUUUCACCGAUGAAGAUAAUGACGGUAGUCGGAGAAGAAGCCCCGGCUAACUUCGUG
rnacentral:rRNA from 1 species